rnacentral:tRNA from 1 species
GCGGGCGUGGUGUAACGGUAGCACAGCAGCCUUCCAAGCUUCUGGCGGGGGUUCGAGUCCCCUCGCCCGCU